rnacentral:rRNA from 1 species
UAGCGCGGUGGUCCCACCUGACCCCAUGCCGAACUCAGAAGUGAAACGCCGUAGCGCCGAUGGUAGUGUGGGGUUUUCCCAUGCGAGAGUAGGGAACUGCCAGGC